AGGACCGCGUUGGAGAAGCAGGGCACGUGCAUGCAUGUUCUUCUUCUUCUUCUUCUUCUUCUUCUUCGUCUAGCUCCUGCCUUGUGUGGGUUGGAAGUUUAGAACUCGCACUGCACGUGGUCUCCUUCUCCAUCCCGGUCUU
rnacentral:pre_miRNA from 1 species